rnacentral:rRNA from 1 species
UCGAGCGAACGGACGAGAAGCUUGCUUCUCUGAUGUUAGCGGCGGACGGGUGAGUAACACGUGGAUAACCUACCUAUAAGACUGGGAUAACUUCGGGAAACCGGAGCUAAUACCGGAUAAUAUUUUGAACCGCAUGGUUCAAAAGUGAAAGACGGUCUUGCCGUCACUUAUAGAUGGAUCCGCGCUGCAUUAGCUAGUUGGUAAGGUAACGGCUUACCAAGGCAACGAUGCAUAGCCGACCUGAGAGGGUGAUCGGCCACACUGGAACUGAGACACGGUCCAGACUCCUACGGGAGGCAGCAGUAGGGAAUCUUCCGCAAUGGGCGAAAGCCUGACGGAGCAACGCCGCGUGAGUGAUGAAGGUCUUCGGAUCGUAAAACUCUGUUAUUAGGGAAGAACAUAUGUGUAAGUAACUGUGCACAUCUUGACGGUACCUAAUCAGAAAGCCACGGCUAACUACGUGCCAGCAGCCGCGGUAAUACGUAGGUGGCAAGCGUUAUCCGGAAUUAUUGGGCGUAAAGCGCGCGUAGGCGGUUUUUUAAGUCUGAUGUGAAAGCCCACGGCUCAACCGUGGAGGGUCAUUGGAAACUGGAAAACUUGAGUGCAGAAGAGGAAAGUGGAAUUCCAUGUGUAGCGGUGAAAUGCGCAGAGAUAUGGAGGAACACCAGUGGCGAAGGCGACUUUCUGGUCUGUA